UUUGGUAGUGUUUUUCAAAACAGUUUUCACUUUUCAAAAACAGGGAAAACAGAAAACGAUGGGAAAACGUGUUUGGUAGCAGUUUUUCUAAAAACGUUUUUUACCCGUUUUUUGUUUUUGAAAACACCUAAAACGAAAACAACAUUUCAUCGUUUUCAUCGUUUUCAUUUUUUUCCUUCUUCUCCUUCAGAAACGAGCAGUUCCCAAAGGAGAUGGGUUGAUUGAUUUGGUAUCAAGUUCUAGGGUUUGCAGCACUUUUUAGGUUCAUCGUUUGGUGGUUAAUAGGGAUCCUAAAUACACAAAUUUCAUCGAGUAAGUAUUCUGUAGAAAAAAAGAUGGCUUCUCUAUCAAGUGAUGAUAAUGUAGAUGAUAUCCGCACAUGGCCACAGUAUAUUGUGGAUUACUUUGUUCAAU